rnacentral:lncRNA from 1 species
AUUACCUUCGAAUUUAUAAUAUUAGUAUGGAUUAAUAUGAAUUUCUGCUAUAAGAGGUAUGCGAGUUUGAGCUCUUUCUUGAAAUGGUAUGCAGGAAAAACUAAUUGAAUAAUCUUUAAAAAGAUGGUAUAUAUUUGCAGGGUGGCCAGUAUUUCUGAAUUGAUGUAAUAUGAAAGACCACCAGGCACUAUCAAAAGUCUUGGGAGAUAUCAAGACUGGUGGCCAAAAUGUAUUUAUCAUCAUCAAGGAGGUAUUUCACAUUUUCUACAGCAUGGUAUAUGGUGUCUUCAGAUGAUCUUUGUUGCUGGAAUCCAUAUUAUGUGUCAUGCAUUAAUGUGUUAUAUUCAACAUACCAGGUUAGUCGGUCAGUUAAUAGACAUUCCAGUACCUUACCAAAGAUGGGCAAUGAGGAUAUAGGUCUGGAUUCAUUUGGCUGACCAGGUUUUGGCACAGAUUAUUUUUGCAAGUUUCCAGUCUUCUGGGAAUAUUCCUUGGGUUAGGCAGCAGUUAUACAUAUUUGUGAGUUGACCGGGGAUCAUUUUCCAGGUGGUCUUUGCAAUUUUUGUGUCUAUUUUGUCUAGUCUAGGAGCUUUUCCUUUUAAUUUAGAGAAGGCAAAGUUCAUUUCUUCAUGCUCAAAAGCUGGGGAGUUGUCAGUUAGGAUUGGUGUGUCCAUCUCCUUUUGCAAAGCCUGCUGCCAUGGUGUAUCAUUUUCCUCACUAUCUUUAAUACGGAAAGAGUCAUCUGCUUUUUCUAGUAUGUUAAAGAGGUUGCUGUUUGAUGUUUUCUCAUCAUUUGUGGUAAGAAUUUGCAUUUUUCUAAGACUGUUCAUACACAAUUUAGUGAGAUAGCCCCACAGAUUUGAAGAUGCCAAAGUGCAGAAUUCUCUCCGGGAAUGUAUUUUAGCAGUUUUAAUUUUUUGUUUGUAUAUUUUUUGAUGUUCAAGAUAUUGUUGUUUUAUUACUGUACGGUUGGACUCUAUUCUUGCAUUUCCACAAGAAUUGUACAUUUACCACUUGCCGAAAAGUAAGAUUUCAAGUUGACAAAGCCUUCUAAUGGCAAGCAAGAACAAGCCUUAUUUGCAAUGAUUGCUGAUAAAUGGUAUAUAUAUAUAUAUAUAUUUUUACAGAAUGUUUGGACAGUCAAUACAGUCUUAAGAAGAAGGAAUUUAAUUUUCCAAACAAAUUAUGAUAUUUGCUCCAUCAGAGGCCAUACCUAUUGUUCUUGAUAGUUAUGUUUUUUUCUUGGAGACACUUUUUAAAUGAAGAGUAUAGCAUUUCUGCAGUACAGUCCUUUGCAUCAAUGAUAAGCAGUUACAGCAAAUCUGUUUUGACAUUUCCUGUUGGUGAAACAUAUUUUAUCAAAAUGCAAAGAAAUUUGGUUUGUGAAAUGUCAGUGAACUCAUCAAGUAGAACAGUCGGUUAUGCUUGCCUUAGAUUAUAAAGGAUCUCUUCAAGUUCCAUCUUUGCAAUUACAUUGUUUACAAUUGCAGUGCAUUUUGUGUGUCAAAGUUCUAUAUUUUUGAUGAUUUGUGUCAGAAGCAAUAUCUUUAAGUAGAGGAACUAGAUGAUCCACUACUUUCAGAGCUACGUUGUUCAGCAAAAAACAUUUGCCAAUUUUAUUUCUGCAAUCUUCACCUUUACUUCUAGGAAAAGUUGUGUCUGCUUUUUGAUGAGAGUUGUCUUGAAAACAAUCUGUGGUGUCUUCUGAACCUGCUUCACAUUAUUGAUGUGUUUAACACUUUUGGUGUGCUUUUUUCACUUUUUCCAACAUUAAGGUCUUGUUACAAGCAACACAAAUUUUCACAUUGGUUAGCAAUUAAAAAUAUAAUAAACUUUAAAUACCAGAGAAGUUUGCCCAUUUUUCAGAUUUUAUUUAAGUAGGUGCAAUGAUGAGAUACAUCUUUCGGGACCUAUAAAUAAUGCAGACAAAUUCCCAAUGUAUUCUGAGCACCUAACAUUAUCAUAUUAUAUAUCAAUAACAAUUGAAAAUAUCAAUUAUUUUGAUAAUUUUAUAUAAAUUUUAACUGUUUCAGGUUGUUUCACUAUUAGUGAUUGAAAGUUCCAGUAUUUCUAUUUCACACUGAACCUACUUUUUACAAAAGUAAUGGUUUUUAUCAAUAAUACUUGAACAAUCUUGAAUAUGUACUGUGCCAGUGAACCUAGUUUUUGUAAAAAGUAAUGGUUUUUAUCAAUAAUACUUGAACAAUCUUGAAUAUGUACUGUGCCAGUGAACCUAGUUUUUGUAAAAAGUAAUGGUAAGUGUUAAUUUUAAUUAUAUGUUAUGGACUGAGUGAUUAAUACGGGCAUUAUGAAUAAUGACAAACAAAAUUGGGCACUGUAAUAAAUAUCAGGUGUUUUAACAUAAUUUAUCAAAUUGACCAGUCAUGAAUACUGCUAUCACCUAGUGAGGCAAAGUGAUGAUAAUACGUUGAGGAGUGAUCACUCAAUAUAUGCUAGCCAUGUAAAGUACUAUAUUAUU